rnacentral:lncRNA from 1 species
AUGCAGGACUUGGCAAACCGAGUUCAGCCCCCACGUUCCUCCCUGCCUCUGGGGGACCUUGGGGGAGUCCCUUCCUUCCAAAGUCAGAUUGCCCAAAUGCAAAAGAUGCCAAUACCCGAUUCCCACCCUACUGUUUCUGGCGCACCCCGAGGCGUGUCACUGCUUCGCAAACUAGGUCUGUGCAAGUGUUGGCAUUUUUAUACUGCAACCAUCUCCCACAACGUGCCUGCCCACCUUCUCCAGUCCGAAUCCGGCCGCACCGCCUCCCAGCUUCCCCAGCUCCCUCCGCAUCCUCGGCGUAGACGCGCUCGCUCCCAGUCUGCGAGACACGGAAGCCGCGUUCCCGAGGUGGGCCGCACGCUCCGUGCCUACGUUCCCGCGCCGAGCCCGCGCCAAGAGCGGGGGGAGGCUCCACGAAGUAAAUGCCGUUCAGUCUUUCGGUCACUUCAAACGCACCUGCCUUCUUGUCAAGGGAAGGACGAGAGAGAGAACACGCUCGGGUCUGCUUAGCUUCCCAUCCUGCUGUGGAGACACAGGACGUUCCAGUAGGAAAGUCAGGCAGAGUGGAAGGGAAGGUGAGUUGUUUAUACCACCCUGCCUGCCUGCUUGGUGACGGAACAGCGUGUCCUGCCUGGUUCUCAGCCGGAAAGGAAAGCCAUCUCCACGACGAGUUAGAGUGGCCUGAGGAUGUCCACUGCAUCUGGAGCGGGCGAGUGCCCCCACCUGGCAGGGCAGUGGCCUCUUCUCCCACAGAGCCGUGGCUCAUGGUGACUCGGGGCCUCAGAAUCCCUCCAUGCUCCUGAAAAUUGCUGAGAGAGUUUGGUUUCUGUGGAUUAUGUCUGUUGAUCUGCACCAGCACAGAAAUCAGCGCCGAGAUCUUAAAUUAUUAAGGGAAACAGUGCUCCCUUUACGUGUACAUAUGUGUACAUACAUAAUAUAGUCCUAAUAAAAGUGCAUUUUCUAAAGAUGGAACCUCAGCCACGUCUUGUGUUCUCUGCCGAUCUCUUUAAUAUCCAGCUCCAAAGCAGACAGACCCUCACACCCGCGCCUGCGUUCAGGCUUCUGUGAUGUUUCGCGUCAGGGAGGCUGCGGGAACCCCCACUGAACCUGCCCCCCCCCCCCCAAGAAGAC